CCUGACUGCUAUCGGAUUGAUACUAAGCCAUGCGAGUCAUUGCAGCAAUGCAAGGCAGACGGCUCAGUAACGCGUAGUCAACCUAACCUAUGGACGGAAAUAACCUCGGGAAACUGAGAAUAAUGUCCGAUAGAACACUAUAUCUGGAAUGGUUUGUGUUCCAAAUGAUUUAUCGCCGUAGGAUGGGACUGCGGCCUAUCAGUUUGUUGGUGAGGUAAUGGCCCACCAAGACUAUUACAGGUACGGGCUCUGAGAGGAGUAGCCCGGAGAUGGGUACUGAGACACGGACCCAGGCCCUAUGGGGCGCAGCAGGCGAGAAAACUUUGCAAUGUGCGAAAGCACGACAAGGUUAAUCCGAGUGAUUUCUGCUAAAGGAACCUUUUGUUAGUCCUAGAAACACUAACGAAUAAGGGGUGGGCAAGUUCUGGUGUCAGCCGCCGCGGUAAAACCAGCACCUCAAGUGGUCAGGAUGAUUAUUGGGCCUAAAGCAUCCGUAGCCGGCUCUGUAAGUUUUCGGUUAAAUCUGUACGCUCAACGUACAGGCUGCCGGGAAUACUGCAGAGCUAGGGAGUGGGAGAGGUAGACGGUACUCGGGAGGAAGUGGUAAAAUGCUUUGAUCUCUCGAUGACCACCUGUGGCGAAGGCGGUCUACCAGAACACGUCCGACGGUGGGGGAUGAAAGCUGGGGGAGCAAACCGGAUUAGAUACCCGGGUAGUCCCAGCUGUAAACUAUGCAAACUCAGUGAUGCAUUGGCUUGUGGCCAAUGCAGUAUUGCAGGGAAGCCGUUAAGUUUGCCGCCUGGGAAGUACGUACGCAAGUAUGAAACUUAAAGGAAUUGGCGGGGGAGCACCACAAGGGGUGAAGCCUGCGGUUC
rnacentral:rRNA from 1 species